rnacentral:tRNA from 1 species
UAGAGAGUAGUUUAAGUAGUAAAAUGCUGGCUUUGGGGGCCAGAGAUGGUGUAUCCCUCUUUGA